UACGGGGGGGGCAAGCGUUGUUCGGAAUUACUGGGCGUAAAGGGCUCGUAGGCGGCCAACUAAGUCAGACGUGAAAUCCCUCGGCUUAACCGGGGAACGGCCUCUGAUACUGGCUGGCUGGAGUUCGGGAGAGGGAUGCGGAAUCCCAGGUGUAGCGGUGAAAUGCGUAGAUAUCUGGAGGAACACCGGUGGCGAAGGCGGCAUCCUGGACCGACACUGACGCUGAGGAGCGAAAGCCAGGGGAGCAAACGGG
rnacentral:rRNA from 1 species